UAAAUACGAUUAAUAUAGGUUAUCAUAUCAUAAAAGGUUAUAACCUAAUUGAAUAUAUUUGUACUCAAAAUUUAUAAAUAAAACUAUUCAAUGAACAUUCAUUCAUUCGUUUUAAUAUUUAAUGCCCUUUGGUUCUUAAAAAAAAAUCAAGAUGUGCAUUGCAACUCCUUUCGAAAUAAUUAUAAGAAUUACAUAAUUAAUACACUAAAUCAUAUACGUGGACAAAAUGGAUGGAAGUCAAUGCAAAGUCUAAAAAUUAAACAGGACGAUAGUACAAUUCAGUUUACAAAGCAGAACAUUUUAAUGAAAGAGACCCUAACUUUGUCUAUAUUACAUGCAGUAAAUUAAAUUCGUUCUAUAAAAAAACUAUCCAAAAUUGUUACAAAAACUUAGGAUUUGAUCAAUUACUCAAUCCCGAUAAAUCCGAAAAAUGUGGAAUAAAAGCUCUAGAUAUAAAUUUUCUAAAAGCCAAAUGGAAAUAUAUGAAUCACAAUGAAAUUAUUUAUGACGAUAAAAAAAUAGGUGUGGACUAUUUAAAAGAACACCGAAUUAAUGACACAAUUUUUCAAAUAAUAAGAGAACAUACUACACAAUUUUUGCGAUGCAGAUUCACUAAAAUAAUUAAAAAUUACGAUGUACUAUUAUCUAUCAUACUACAUUUGUGCAAUACACAUGCAAACUGGAUAUUAUAAAAAUAUGAAUGUUUAAAACAAUUCCAUAAUUCAUUUAUAAAGUCUCAAAAAAUGUUUGAAACUCUUAAAACAGUUAUGAUUACAUCCAAUAAAUUUACAAUAUGGAGUGUAAAUUUUAAUUAUUCAACGUAAUUUAAUAAAAUAUUCAAAUGGGUAUUGGGUUUUCUUCAUUUAUUAAAAGUAAAUUUAAAUUCAAGUGAUAGUUCUAUUGACAUUACCCAAAGAAAUGAUGAUGAAGACAAAAUUGAUGUAGCUAAACUGUUUUUUCAACAAUAUCAAUCAAAGUUUUUAAUUAAAUGCAUAUUUUGCAUUUACAAAAAUAUCAUUCCUCUCAAUAAAAAUAAAUGAAGAUAGAAUUUUUUUAUUUUAUUUUAAAUUAAUAAUGGAGAUUAUCUUACUUAUGAUGAAUUUAUAAUUAAUUUAAGAGCUCUGUACAAAAGUAAUAUAAUUCCAACCUUCAAAAACUAAAGAAACUAAAAACGACCCACUCCAAAUAUAUGUGUUCAUGGAAAAGUGAAUUAGAAGUAGCUCAAUCAUAAUUCGUGUUUUCUUUAUGAAGGCUCAUCUGUAUCGCCUUGUGUUUUUGUGAAAUCGAAUAGAAUUGCCAGAAUAUGACGCUGUCAAAUUCCCUUUAAAAUCGCGUGAUUUUCGAAUUAAUAAUUCUAACAUUGCAUUGAUAUAUUAUUUUAUAAUAAGUUUAAUCAUGGAUACUUAUUUUAUAUUUUAUUAUCUUUUCAUAACUUUUAUAUUUUAAUGUAAAAUUAUGAUUGUGUACCAUGUUAAUUAAACGUGAGCUACAGUAACUAGUGUCGAAACUUUGUACAUCUGUAUUAACAUUAAAUUAACAGCUGGCGGGACUUUGUGUAGGCGCGUUAAUGUUAGUGCA